GACGAACGCUGGCGGCGUGCUUAACACAUGCAAGUCGAACGGAAAGGCCCUGCUUUUUUGGGGUUCUCGAGUGCCGAUCGGGUGAGUAACACGUGAGUAACCUGCCCUUGACUUUGGGAUAACUUCAGGAAACUGGGGCUAAUACCGGAUAGGAGCUCCUGCUGCAUGGUGGGGGUUGGAAAGUUUCGGCGGUUGGGGAUGGACUCGCGGCUUAUCAGCUUGUUGGUGGGGUAGUGGCUUACCAAGGCUUUGACGGGUCGCCGGCCUGAGAGGGUGACCGGCCACAUUGGGACUGCGAUACGGCCCAGACGGCUACGGGAGGCAGCGGUGGGGAAUAUUGCACAAUGGGCGGAAGCCUGAUGCAGCAGCGCCGCGUGCGGAAUGACGGUCUUCGGGGUGUAAACCGCUUUCGGCUGUGACGAAGCGUGAGUGACGGUAACGGAUAAAGAAGCACCGGCUAACUACGUG
rnacentral:rRNA from 1 species